rnacentral:rRNA from 1 species
ACGAACGCUGGCGGCUGCUUAACACAUGCAAGUCGAACGGAGUGGCGAACGGGUGAGUAACGCGUGAGCCACCUGCCUCUGACAGUGGGAUAGCCUCGGGAAACCGGGAUUAAUACCGCAUAGUCAUAGAUGGGCUCGCGUCUGAUUAGCUAGUUGGUGUGAUAACAGCCCACCAAGGCGACGCUCAGUAGCCGGUCUGAGAGGAAGAACGGCCACAGUGGCAGUGGGACACCGUCCAAACUCCUACGGGAGGCAGGAGUGGGGAAUAGGGCACAAUGGGGGAAACCCUGAUGCAGCGACGCCGCGUGAACGAAGAAGGUAUUCGUAUCGUAAAGUUCUGGCCUAUGGGAAGCAGUACCAGAGAAGAAAGCUCCGGCUAAAUACGUGCCAGCAGCCGCGGUAAUUC